rnacentral:rRNA from 1 species
AACCUUCGGGUUAGUGGCGGACGGGUGAGUAACGCGUGGGAAUCUGCCCUCAGGAGGGGGAUAACGGUUGGAAACGGCCGCUAAUACCCCAUAUGCCGAGAGGUGAAGUGAAUUUCGCCUGAGGAUGAGCCCGCGUCUGAUUAGCUAGUUGGUGAGGUAAGAGCUCACCAAGGCAUCGAUCAGUAGCUGGUCUGAGAGGAUGAUCAGCCACACUGGGACUGAGACACGGCCCAGACUCCUACGGGAGGCAGCAGUGGGGAAUUUUCCGCAAUGGGCGAAAGCCUGACGGAGCAACGCCGCGUGAGGGAUGAAGGCCUCUGGGCUGUAAACCUCUUUUAUCAAGGAAGAAGAUCUGACGGUACUUGAUGAAUAAGCCACGGCUAAUUCCGUGCCAGCAGCCGCGGUAAUACGGGAGUGGCAAGCGUUAUCCGGAAUUAUUGGGCGUAAAGCGUCCGCAGGCGGCCCAACAAGUCUGCUGUUAAAAAGUGGAGCUUAACUCCAUCAUGGCAGUGGAAACUGUUGGGCUCGAGUGUGGUAGGGGCAGAGGGAAUUCCCGGUGUAGCGGUGAAAAGCGUAGAUAUCGGGAAGAACACCAGUGGCGAAGGCGCUCUGCUGGGCCAUCACUGACGCUCAUGGACGAAAGCCAGGGGAGCGAAAGGGAUUAGAUACCCCUGUAGUCCUGGCCGUAAACGAUGAACACUAGGUGUCGGGGGAAUCGACCCCUCCGGUGUCGUAGCCAACGCGUUAAGUGUUCCGCCUGGGGAGUA